rnacentral:tRNA from 1 species
GCCGAAGUGGCGGAACUGGUAGACGCGCUGGACUCAAAAUCCAGUGAUAGCAAUAUCGUGUGGGUUCGAGUCCCACCUUCGGUA